GUGUUUGUUUUGGCAGCACAUAUACUAAAAUUGGAAUGAUACAGAGAAGAUUAGCAUGGCCCUCGCGAAAGGAUGACAUGAAAAUUCGUGAAAUAUAAUCAGUUGUU
ensembl:snRNA U6 U6 spliceosomal RNA